rnacentral:rRNA from 1 species
UGAAGUUAAAGGCUGUGGNUUAACCAUAGUACGCUUUGGAAACUGUUUAACUUGAGUGCAGAAGGGGAGGGUGGAAUUCCAUGUGUAGCGGUGAAAUGCGUAGAUAUAUGGAGGAACACCGGUGGCGAAAGCGGCUCUCUGGUCUGUAACUGACGCUGAGGCUCGAAAGCGUGGGGAGCGAACAGGAUUAGAUACCCUGGUAGUCCACGCCGUAAACGAUGAGUGCUAGGUGUUAGGCCCUUUCCGGGGCUUAGUGCCGCAGCUAACGCAUUAAGCACUCCACCUGGGGAGUACGACCGCAAGGUUGAAACUCAAAGGAAUUGACGGGGGCCCGCACAAGCGGUGGAGCAUGUGGUUUAAUUCGAGGCAACGCGAAGAACCUUACCAGGUCUUGACAUCCCGAUGCCCGCUCUAGAGAUAGAGUUUUACUUCGGUACAUCGGUGACAGGUGGUGCAUGGUUGUCGUCAGCUCGUGUCGUGAGAUGUUGGGUUAAGUCCCGCAACGAGCGCAACCCUAUUGUUAGUUGCCAUCAUUCAGUUGGGCACUCUAGCGAGACUGCCGGUAAUAAACCGGAGGAAGGUGGGGAUGACGUCAAAUCAUCACGCCCCUUAUGACCUGGGCUACACACGUGCUACAAUGGCUGGUACAACGAGUCGCAAGUCGGUGGCGGCAAGCUAAUCUCUUAAAGCCAGUCUCAGUUCGGAUUGUAGGCUGCAACUCGCCUACAUGAAGUCGGAAUCGCUAGUAAUCGCGGAUCAGCACGCCGCGGUAAAUACGUUCCCGGGCCUUGUACGCACCGCCCGUCACACCACGAGAGUUUGUAACACCCGAAGUCGG